CGCAAGCCUGAUGCAGCCAUGCCGCGUGUAUGAAGAAGGCCUUCGGGUUGUAAAGUACUUUCAGCAGUGAGGAAGGUGGGUAUGUUAAUAGCAUAUUCAUUUGACGUUAGCUGCAGAAGAAGCACCGGCUAACUCCGUGCCAGCAGCCGCGGUAAUACGGAGGGUGCGAGCGUUAAUCGGAAUUACUGGGCGUAAAGCGCAUGCAGGUGGUUUGUUAAGUCAGAUGUGAAAGCCCGGGGCUCAACCUCGGAAUUGCAUUUGAAACUGGCAAACUAGAGUACUGUAGAGGGGGUAGAAUUUCAGGUGUAGCGGUGAAAUGCGUAGAGAUCUGAAGGAAUACCGGUGGCGAAGGCGGCCCCCUGGACAGAUACUGACACUCAGAUGCGAAAGCGUGGGGAGCAAACAGGAUUAGAUACCCUGGUG
rnacentral:rRNA from 1 species